rnacentral:ncRNA from 1 species
UUCUUCAGGGCAGGGUGAAAUUCCCGACCGGCGGUAUAGCCCGCGAGCUUAAUAAAUAUAAUUAAGCAGAUUUGGUUAAAUUCCAAAGCCGACAGUAAAGUCUGGAUGAGAGAAGAA